rnacentral:rRNA from 1 species
GGAUGAACGCUGGCGGCGUGCCUAAUACAUGCAAGUCGAGCGAAUGGAUUAAGAGCUUGCUYUUAUGAAGUUAGCGGCGGACGGGUGAGUAACACGUGGGUAACCURCCCAUAAGACUGGGAUAACUCCGGGAAACCGGGGCUAAUACCGGAUAAUAUUUUGAACUGCAURGUUCGAAAUUGAAAGGCGGCUUCGGCUGUCACUUAUGGAUGGACCCGCGUCGCAUUAGCUAGUUGGUGAGGUAACGGCUCACCAAGGCRACGAUGCGUAGCCGACCUGAGAGGGUGAUCGGCCACACUGGGACUGAGACACGGCCCAGACUCCUACGGGAGGCAGCAGUAGGGAAUCUUCCGCAAUGGACGAAAGUCUGACGGAGCAACGCCGCGUGAGUGAUGAAGGCUUUCGGGUCGUAAAACUCUGUUGUUAGGGAAGAACAAGUGCUAGUUGAAUAAGCUGGCACCUUGACGGUACCUAACCAGAAAGCCACGGCUAACUAC